rnacentral:rRNA from 1 species
GAGUUUGAGUCCUGGCUCAGAUUGAACGCUGGCGGCAGGCUUAACACAUGCAAGUCGAGCGGGGGAGAUUGCUUCGGUAAUUGACCUAGCGGCGGACGGGUGAGUAAUACUUAGGAAUCUGCCUAUUAAUGGGGGACAACAUCUCGAAAGGGAUGCUAAUACCGCAUACGCCCUACGGGGAAAGCAGGGGAUCACUUGUGACCUUGCGUUAAUAGAUGAGCCUAAGUCGGAUUAGCUAGUUGGUGGGGUAAAGGCCUACCAAGGCGACGAUCUGUAGCGGGUCUGAGAGGAUGAUCCGCCACACUGGGACUGAGACACGGCCCAGACUCCUACGGGAGGCAGCAGUGGGGAAUAUUGGACAAUGGGGGGAACCCUGAUCCAGCCAUGCCGCGUGUGUGAAGAAGGCCUUAUGGUUGUAAAGCACUUUAAGCGAGGAGGAGGCUCCUGUAGUUAAUACCUACAGAGAGUGGACGUUACUCGCAGAAUAAGCACCGGCUAACUCUGUGCCAGCCG